rnacentral:rRNA from 1 species
AAAAUUGGUCAAUGGGCGCAAACUUGAACCAGCCAUGCCGCGUGCAGGAAGACGGCCCUAUGGGUUGUAAACUGCUUUUGUACCGGAAUAAACCUUCUCUUGCGAGAGAAGCUGAACGUACGGUAAGAAUAAGGAUCGGCUAACUCCGUGCCAGCAGCCGCGGUAAUACGGAGGAUGCAAGCGUUAUCCGGAUUUAUUGGGUUUAAAGGGUGCGUAGGCGGCUUUUUAAGUCAGGGGUGAAAACUUGCGGCUCAACCGUAAGCUUGCCUUUGAUACUGAGGAGCUUGAAUACACUUGAGGUAGGCGGAAUGUGACAAGUAGCGGUGAAAUGCAUAGAUAUGACACAGAACACCGAUUGCGAAGGCAGCUUACUAAACUGCAACUGACGCUGAGGCACGAAAGCGUGGGGAUCAAACAGGAUUAGAUACCCUGGUAGUCCACGCCCUAAACGAUGAAUACUCGAUGUUAGCGAUAUACAGUUAGCGUCUAAGCGAAAGCGUUAAGUAUUCCACCUG